rfam:Azospirillum sp. CAG:239 genomic scaffold, scf3
GCAGGCAGCCGGAUAGCUGCUUCCCGGAAAGGAAAAUCCGCGGAAGAGGAAAGUCCGGGCUUCAAGGAAACAAGACACCGGAUAACGUCCGGCCGGAGAAAUCCGAGGGAAAGUGCCGCAGAAACAUACCGCUCUCUUUCAGGGAGUAAGGUUGAAAAGGCGAGGUAAGAGCUCACCGCGAAACCGGCAACGGUUUCGGCAAGGUAAACCCUGUCUGAAGCAAGACCAAGUUAGGAGGGCCGGAACUUCGGUUUCGGUUAUACGGAGGGUUUCCACUCUGCUCCAGAGGUAGGUCGCGUUGAGCCGUACAGCAAUGUCCGGCCCAGAUGAAUAGCUAUCGCGCCGCAAGGCGUACAGAACCCGGCUUACAGGCUGCCUGACAGA